rnacentral:rRNA from 1 species
CGAACCCUUCGGGGUUAGUGGCGCACGGGUGCGUAACGCGUGGGAACCUGCCUUUAGGUUCGGAAUAACAGUUAGAAAUGACUGCUAAUACCGGAUAAUGUCUUCGGACCAAAGAUUUAUCGCCUUUAGAUGGGCCCGCGUUAGAUUAGGUAGUUGGUGGGGUAAUGGCCUACCAAGCCGACGAUCUAUAGCUGGUCUGAGAGGAUGAUCAGCCACACUGGGACUGAGACACGGCCCAGACUCCUACGGGAGGCAGCAGUGGGGAAUAUUGGACAAUGGGCGAAAGCCUGAUCCAGCAAUGCCGCGUGAGUGAUGAAGGCC